CCAGGGGUACAGAGAGCUAAGGAAGGAAAACUCCAUACUUGAGAUGCCUUCUUGAGCCAGCAGUGGCAGUAGUGGUGGUGGAGGCAACAGUUAGAUGAACUGACUGGUCCUGACCACACAGUGUCAAAAUAGAGAAUGGAGAGCAGGUCUGCUGUUUACCAAAGAAGACCGAAACAUGGCCCACGUGUCCAAUCCUUGCUUGGAGGAGGAGCCGGGAGGAUACCCUUGAUGAACUGCUCUCAGAUUGUUGGUCUAUGAAGGUAUCUUUCUCUUUCAGUAGAUGAAAGGAGGUUAAUACAUGUCAGUUUGACAUUGUAUCAUUGAAUCAGAAUUGAACAUCAGAAAGAGUAAAAUUCCCAGGCCUUUUUUACCCUAGCCUGGGUACAAGCUCAAGAUGAUGCAGAAGGAGGAGCAAAGCAUGGGAUCCAAGAAAGUUAAGUUCCAGCUCAGGUCGA
rnacentral:lncRNA from 1 species